CUGAAAAGCAUGGAUUUUGGACCUCUCAUGAACCACAAGGUUGUGCCCAGAGGGUGUCAUCCCAGUGGAACAGAGGAAUACACUUCAGUGAUGAGACACAGUCAUGCCAUGGCUGGCAUCUUCACAGUCACAUGAUGAUGUUUACACAAUAACAAUGGGCUUCUUGUGUUUUCUGAGGUGAACAUAUGGAUAUGGAUCAAAUGGUUUUAACAAAAUCUAAUUGGGUACAACACAAAGAUUGUCUGUCUUGCAAGUGUCCCCCCUUUUUAACAUGAAUGUCCAGUCAUUCAUUAAAGAUGAUAAUAAUGGGUGAAAUAUAUUUGUUCCUGAAUUUAAAUAAUGUACAAAAGCAGAAAUGGGAUUGAUGGUACCUCCACAGCCUUUACCUCUGUUACCAAAAAUAAACAAAAUGUUUUUUUCUUGCUGAUUUAACACACAUUGAGCCA
rnacentral:lncRNA from 1 species